CACCUGUGAAUGGAACUCAGGCCACUGAAGUGGAGCACACUGAACUUAACCACUAGGCCACGGGGGCUGGCCCACAUCUUAUCUUUUUAUGUCUACGUUUCCUAGCUUACACCCAUCCAAGAAAGGUUCAUCAAAUGGAUCUUCCACUGUUAUGAGCACUGUUAGAAGUAUUUCUCUGUGGAAACAUGCCGAUGCCUUGUGUCUGGGAGUUCACGCCGGGCCCUUCAUCCAUUCUUGCCCCUGUUGUACUUGCUGCAUCUUUGCAGGCAAGGCCGGAGUUAGGGGCUCAAAGUUCUGCGCUCCCGGUAGACACCGGGCCAAAGCACAGACAUUUGCCAGGUCUUCCCUUCCCUUCUCUUUAGGUCCUAGCGGUCAGGAGCACUUGAGCAUCGAGGCGGUGGGGAGGAAGAAGUCCUGAGCAUGGGGAUGGGGAGGGUGGCUUGCGGGGGAUCCACCAGGGCUGGUCAGGAGGCGGCCGGCCUGCUGCAGGACUGCGGGGAAGCCAGUAAGACGGUCUCCGCCUCUUUGCAGAGUCCACAAUCAGUGCUUCAGGGGGUGGGGGGCGGGGGUGGUGGUUGGUGCUGUGCAAACUGCUGCGGAAACCAGAGGGAGAAGGAAGGAAACUGAGAGCAGAAACCAUAGGCAGACUGGAUUUUUCCCUCAGAGAACUUUCUGGCGCGGCACCCUCAAUCUGAGAAAUCAUGAGCGCUUUCGCAAAUAAAAAGCAACAAACCUUCCUGCUAAAGACGGGCGAGUUUGUGACCUGCUCCAGGGCCAGUAAUCCCACCUGGUGGUCAGAGAAGAGGCCUUUCAGGGAAGGCAGGUGGGACAGCCACGUGACCAGCAGACACAACAGACCCCCCCCCCCCCCCCCCCCCCCGCAGGUCUCCAGGAGAGAUCUCUGACAUGCAGCCUUCAGGCUCCCUUGUUUUCCAAAAGAGCAGAAUGAGUAAUUUUUGCCCCACACUCUGGUUGUUUAAAAACCUACAUUGUUUAAAGAUCUCAACUUUACACGCAAAUAAAACGCUUCUAAAUCACUCACGUCUUUUUCCUUUAAUAUUUGAGUCAUCCAUGUAAACGCUUCGCCGGGGGGAAGGGUGAGUGGUAAGGGCUUUGGAGGAACAUAAAGCCCCGAAAUAUUUAUGUUUCUUGCAGCUUUCCAGGUGGCAACGAAUAGACCUAUUUUACAGAGUGCCCACCACUGCCCACUUUGCACUGUGGACCUUAUUUACUUAAAACGGUUCUCGGCAUGCACGUUUUUGAACUGCUGCUGCCAGAACCUGCCUGCUGCUCGAAUGGAUGGCAUACUGAGUAUUUUAGGAAUAAAAUUUACCUAAAAUAAUUUAAUAACAGUUUUUAAAUAUAAUUAGAUAUUCCAUUUAAAGUUUCCAGAGUCCCAAUUGUCUCAAGAAGGGUAACAUUUGUGGAAAAAUUAGAAAUUUUAACCUAGACCUGAUAAUUAAGGAUAUUAAGAAAUAAUUAUUUUGUCUUGGAUGUAAUAGGAUAUUGCGGUUCGUUUUAUGGUUAUUUUGUCAGUCUUUAUUUUUUAUAUAUAUUGUAUAUUUGCCUAUGUAUACACACGUAUUUGGUGUAUGUGAUAUAUCUAUACUAUAGUAUUUAUGGAUGACAGGAUAGGAUGUCUGGGAUGUGCUUUGAAAUAAUACAGGAGUGGUGGUGAGUGGGUGGGAUUUAGAGGAGAUGAGAUUGGCUGUGAAUUAAUUGUUAUUGAAGUUGAGUGACAGGUAUGUGGGAGUCUAUUAAACUUGUCUGUUAACUUUUGUAUGUGCUUAAAAUUUUCCAUAGGAAAGAAAUUAAUGAAAAGGACACAAUACUGAAAUAAACAUUCAGGUGCAUAACUCCUUAUGUACAUGUGACGGUUUCUUCUGGGCAAAAACUUAGAAGUGCGGCUUCAGCUCUUCCGGAUAGUGCCAAGUUGCUCCCCAGAGUCAAUGGCAGCCUUUGACAGGGACCAGGUCAGAACUCAGCUUGCCUCACUUAGAGGACGAGUGCCAUCUCUGUGUUGGGCCUUUUUUACACGCUCUGUCCAGGGCGGGGAGGAGGAACGUGUGGGCGUGUCGGUCCUCCUGCGGGUGAGACAAGUGUGAUAGCUGCAGCUGGAGUGGGUUAGUGCUUUCUGGAGUGCGAGCUCUUGCCUAAGUCCGCCUACUGCUCAUGUUCCCACCUUUGAGCUCUCGUUUUGGGUGUAAGACACUAAGUUUAUGAAAAUCUACAUAAUCUGCUGUUUUUAUUUUGCUACAAAGAAAUACAUGUUUAUUACAGAAAUUUAUGACAUUACAAAUAAAAGGGAGAAAAUAAAAACCAGCCAACCUACCAUGGCUGGCAGUAUUUUGCAUUUACUCUUCAGUAUUUUUCCUUUGCUAAUACACUACAUUCCAUUGAAGUAUGAUUUCUUCACUUGAGACAUUUUUUCCUAUUAUUAAACAGCCUUUUACAAUAUAGUUUUUGAUGGUGGCGUGGUAUUUUGUUGGCUGAAAAUUGCAUAAUUCAUUUAAAUAAUUCCUAAUUUUCAGCACUUAGACUGUUUCCAAUAUUUCCCUACUUUUUCUGUUUUUGCCUUGUGCUCAUUUUGAAGGACUCAGCACUUUGACUUGUCUCCAGGUGGAACCCUCCCCAAUGUGAGUGAUCACACGGGACUGUUUCAGGAGAAACACAGCACACGCCACGCAGUGGAAACUCAGGAUCAUCAGCCAUUUCGCAUUUGUGUUUUCUACCCUCUGGUCUUCUUUCCAGACAGUAGCCUCUUCUCUCUUCUUUCUUUUCCCCAGACAGUUUCCAAAUGUCCCCCGUGAUGUCCAGAGUUCAGAGUUAUUCAUCUCUGCACACUCCCUCAGCAAAGCAGAAAGUUCUGCAGUUAGCAGAACUAACCAUCUUGAGACAGCAAUUCACGGACCAUCUAUUUUCACUGAAAUGUGUCCCUUGAAAGUUUCACCAAAUGAUUUCUCAAAGUAUUAUAUGAUCCAUAACUACUUCCUUGAGAUAAAUUCUUAGGGAGGGAAUGGCUAUACCAGAGAGCAUAAAAAAUGUGGAGACUUCUGCUGAUUUUUAAUAAUAAAGUGUGUUGAUUUGCUUUCUGCCAGUGCUCCAUCAGUCAGCGUUCAGCCAGGAGAACAGAACCACUGUGAGGGGUACCGAAAAAGGGAUCUGUCAUAGCGAUGAGACUUUCCACAAUCACGGAAGAGCUAAGGAAGUCAAGUUCUGGAAGGAGAUUGGUUGGAGGAUCAGAGAAAAGCCGCCAACCAGGGAGCGUGGAGGGGAGCUGCUAGGGGUUGGGCUGACAUUGCUGUAGUUCAGCAGGGCAGGCAGUUGGGAGGAAAAGCUGGUGGUGAAGCAGAGGAAAAUGGACAAGUGGAAUGUAUGAGGGCGAACUGUGUCUGUCUUUCACUGCAUCUGACUCCAGUGAUGCUGGUGGCAUGUGGAAGAAGCUGCUGCUCACUGUGGAGCCGUACACGUGCCUGGCCCAGGACCAGGGGAAGCUGAAGGAGGCGAUCUGGUGGGAGCUGAAGGAACCGCAUAGGUGCUGCUGCCGGAGGCCGACGAGAUGACCCUGCUGAUCAGCACUGCGUGUGACCUGCACCAGCCGCUGCACUGAGCUUCCAAGCAUAACGGCUGCUGUUGAACUUGUGGCUUCCACAUCUUAUGCAAAUGUCUCUGUGUAUAAUCCCAGCUCGGAACAGUAUGGGGAAAGGACUUUGGGAAGCAUAGUUCCAGUUUAGCUCAGUUGACACAGAGUAAAACCACCACAGGUAGUGCCCGAAGGACUUCGUUGGUGCCAGGAUAGAAAAAUGAAUUCUAGUGAAUCUGGCAAGCAUUUACUACUGUCCAGUUUUGUUGACAAUGGUGGCAGCACGAAGCAGAGUGAUAGAAAGGAGUGAGGGGGAGACGGAACCAGAAUAAUGCGGGUGGCGGAGUUUAAGGGACUCCAUCUUUGUCUCCUUGUUCUCGUUAUGGAGCACUUGCCCAGGAGACAUGAGAGUGGAACGCCAUGUGCCACCGCAGCUGGUUCUGGCAGCUGGAACUGACAAAUGACCACGAGCCUUGAGUGGCCUGGCAGCACCAGACUCCGGACCUCACUGAAGACCUUCCUGACCGUCAACAGUGGGGCUGUUCUAACCUACAGUGGACAGACUGCGGACUCAGUCCUCCGAAGGAUUCUCUCCCGAAUUAGCAUAACCGCCCUGAAACCUCCUUCCUUACGCAGCCUCUCUGCGUUUCCCGCUCUGUGCGUUCCUCAGUUGUUACUCACUGGUGGGUGUUUCCUCGCCUGAUGAAUUUUUUCCCAGGCACUGGCAGUCUUUGUUUUAUUCUUUGGCAUGUAGGAAGCCAGUUAAUAGGUGUUUUUAUUAACUUUCAGUGCUGUUUCCAUGUGUGUUUCCCUCUCGGGUGAGCGAGGUGAGGGAUGACGUCUGUGGGCGCAGAUGAUGCCCUUCUCGGUGCCUCAGUGCCCUGUGACCACCCGCCCCUUGCCAAACGGAUCACUUAUACAAUUUGGGGGGGUCCUGUUUAACGAAAAGAACAACAAACCUUCAGCAAAUUUUUAUUUGCAAACAACAAAUAUUUAUUUAAAGUGAGAAAAUAGAACCCAACAAAUUACAAAUUUAAAGCAGGCGAGAAACGCCGCUUCCUAACCGGAGCGCACACGGCGUUGCCUUUCCGCCUUUGGAGCCGCCACAGCAGCUGCGCAGGCGCAGGGCCCGGACGCUGGAGCGGCUUCGGCUUCGCGCGAAUCCCCUGGACGCCGCCGCCCGGCCGUCAGGCCCCGCCCCCGGCAGCCCCGCCCCGCCUCCUCUCGGCGGCUGGGAGGGACGCCAGGUUCGUGGACUGAGAGAGGCUCAGGUGUGGGGAUGAGCCCCGGGUUGGGGACCUGGGCCUCUUCCCUGUGCGUAGCCCCCUCCUUGGAAAUCAGUAGCCUCUCGGAGCUGUGCUUUCUUCUUUAUAAGAUGGAAUCGGAGGACGUGCAGGCUCGCCGCCUGUGGUUCUGCAGGAGGGGUCCAGGGAUGCGGUGAGGGAGUCCUACGCUUCACAGCCCCAAGUCCGCGAAAACCUGUAUUGUUGGUGCGGAGCGGGCUCUAGUCUAAGGAAAUACGAUCUACGAUCCUCUCUGUACAAAGAAACGUGACUAACCGGUAAUUUAAGAUGUGGAAACCAUCUUCCUCACCAAAAACAAAAAGCAUAAAAAAAGGGAAGGGAGAUAUAGAAAUUUAUGCAUGUGUCUACAGAUGGGUAAUCAGUGGUUUUCAGUGAUAAUAAAGAGCAUUUCUUCACGGAGAA